rnacentral:lncRNA from 1 species
CUGACUCUCUUUUCGGACUCAGCCCGCCUGCACCCAGGUGAAAUAAACAGCCAUGUUGCUCACACAAAGCCUGUUUGGUGGUCUCUUCACAGGGACACGGAUGAAAUUUGGUGCCGUGACUCGGAUCGGGGAACCUCCCUUAGGAGAUCAAUCCCCUGUACUCCUUUUCUUUGCCCUGUGAGAAAGAUCCACCUAUGACCUCAGGUCCUCAGACCGACCAGCCCAAGGAACAUCUCACCAAUUUUAAAUCAGGUGUUGUUCAAGGAGAAACUGAAGAGCAAGAAGGAAAGUGAGAGCCAGCAAUACCAGCAGAGCCAGAUCUGAGCUGGGAGAAGGGGAGAAAGUUUGUGAAGAGGAGGUCCACAGUGAAUGAACAUGAAGCGUGGAAGGACUGAGGUAGAUUCUGUGGUAGAAUAAGUGGUGAACUGCACAAACUGAAACCAAGAGCAGAUAAGUGCUGUUGUUUCAUUAUGUGGGGGAGCCGGCAGAUUGUUUAUAAGCUAAAAGGAGUAAACUCAUAAGGAAGAGAAAAUUAUUGAUGUAGGUAACAAAUAGAUACGUGAAUACUUUUUCGGUGACCUGGGCUCCUUAUGUGCCUGAAAGAGUUUGAGUUUCCUGUUAACUCCAAAUCAACAGUAUUUUCAACAAGAAAUGUGCAAUUGAAAUCAAGUGCUGUUUAAGUGCAGCUAGGAUUUCCACAGGAAGACACUUGCAGUGAACAGAGUUAUGGAGCAGCAAAAACACAGAUCUAUUUGGAAAAAGAGAAAACAUAUGCGUUGUAUUUUGCUUCAAUUAUAAAAUACCAUCCUCUCAAAGGUGGUUCUAAAUUACAAAGGACUUUGAUUUCUAGGUAGAUUCUGGGUAGAGACUUCCUUUCAUAUUGAGGCAUUAAUGACACCUUUUAACCUGGGAAGCAAUAUGACUGGAGUUGUACUUUGAGAAGAUUAAUCAGGUUUGGUUGCAGAAUGAAAGAGAAGAUGAAGUCAAGAGAUUGGUUUAGAGGCUCUAGCAGAAGCUUAGUCAUAUUUCAAAAUGAUCAAAUAUCAAGAAAAAUUCUGAGCUGCAUAACUUGUAUAAAGUAAUUUUCAGUGAUUUUUUUCAUGGUUAUGAUAAAAGAACUGGAUUAGCAGAAACUUUUACCCUGAAUCAAGAUUUAAUUUUUCUUUGAGCUCAUCUUAAGGAUAUCGGAACAUAGGGAGCAAACGAUGGUGUGGCUGCCUCAGUGCUUGAUUUUUAACGGUUUUGAAGAGAAUAGUUACAUUUCUUCUCCUAGUAAGAACUAAUAAAUACAUUAACAGAAAUGAAUUCCCUAUCCCUUUGUACACUGGUCUAUUUCUUCAAAACAUUAAAUACUAUUGAUAAGAUA